ensembl:misc_RNA
UUUGGUAAUGGAGAUUAACACCUCAUUUUCCCAAUCUGUGGAAGCCAUCUUCCCCUGGACUUCUGAGGGAA